UACAGAGGGGGCAAGCGUUGUUCGGAAUUACUGGGCGUAAAGGGCGCGUAGGCGGCCCGCUAAGUCGAACGUGAAAUCCCCGAGCUCAACUCGGGAACUGCGUCCGAUACUGGCGGGCUUGAAUCCGGGAGAGGGAUGCGGAAUUCCAGGUGUAGCGGUGAAAUGCGUAGAUAUCAGGAGGAACACCGGUGGCGAAGGCGGUUCUCUGGGCAUGUCCUGACGCUGAGGAGCGAAAGCGUGGGGAGCGAACAGG
rnacentral:rRNA from 1 species